GCCAAAUGCAAAAGGGCAGAAAUUCUGGGCUUCUCCCGCCAACUCUGUCAGUUAUCUUUCCUCGAGCAUUUCUCCAUUUUCUUUAAAAGGCAGCUUUCGUGUUCCCAGAGAGAAUUAGUGGGAAAAGAAUAGAGAAAAGUGAAGAAAAUCCGAUAACCCAUUUCUCCAGAGGGCCAAUAUGGAUCUGUCAGACAUAGCGAGAAAGCUCGAUCUCUCAGAACAGAAGCUGCUGGUUCGAAAAGAAGCGGAGCUCCACCACCUCUGCCAUGUUCAGUUUGAUUCCUCCAUUAUCGGCGUCAUAAGGUGAGGUUUGUAGAGCUAUAAUCUGCUUGGAAAUUGCUGCUACAAGGUUUGGGGAGGUUAUAUUUGAUAGACAGAAAGCUAUCAAGUUAAGAGGAAUGUCAGAGAAGGCUUACAAUAGAUCUUUUAAUUCCCUGCAGAAUGGUCUAAAUAUCAAGACGACGCUGGAUAUUAGAGAAUUCGGGAUUCAAUUUGGAUGUGUUAGGCUCAUUCCCUUUGUGAAGAAGGUCUUGUCUCUGCAAGACCCUUUUCCUUUAUAUGUGUUCUUUGAUUUUGGUCUCUUUAAAUCUGUUUCCUUUCAAGAUUGCUUUGUGUUUGAGAGAAUGCCUGAAAGGGUAAAUCCCUAAUUUAAACUAUCUUUACUGUACUCAAAUUUGUUAAGAUUGCAAUCCUCAGCACUUUGAUGACCUUUUUUCA